rnacentral:lncRNA from 1 species
CCUUCCUCCAACAACAAAUAAAUAUAUUAAAAUAUUCCAAAUGUCUAAAUCCACACUGUUGUCCCGUUUGUUGUCUAGUCCGUGUUGUGUCGCUGUCGCUGCUUUUGUUUUUCCCGGGGCAAAAUUUAUGACGUCGCGCCACAAUCAGGAAGUGCUUUGAAGGCCAGACCGUCCCAUUUACCAACGGUGGAGGAUCCUCCGGAGGAUCCUCAGGACCUCCUGAGACCGCGUAGGCUGCGUCCUCCGAAGGAUGCAGACCCUGAAUUGGGACACAGCCGUUGUUGUUGGAUUGCUGCUGCGCUGCAUGCGCGAGAAGUGCUUCACUUCCGCACACUAAUAUGAACAGUAUAUACGAAGACCACAGCUAAAGACCACAGCUAUCCGGAGAAAAAUGAUACAGUUAUCACUUUUCGUCCACAAGAGUCAGUUUUUGAACGAUGGAGUCAGAUCCCACUUGAAAUCAAAAAGGAGGCUGGACAGCGGAUGAAAAUCUGUGUCUUUUGGCUUCCUAUUCUAUUGCAGCGGGACGAGUCCAGCAAUGCUGUUUGCUGGGCUGCAGAAAUAGGUCUAAUCAGCUCAAAGAACACAGAGGACCUACGUCUGAAGCACCUGCGCAAGAUUGAGACAGUGGAGACAAUCCUCAGAGCCUUGGAGCAAGGAUCU